rnacentral:rRNA from 1 species
CAGCAGUCGCCGCGGUAAUACAGAGGGUGCGAGCGUUAAUCGGAUUUACUGGGCGUAAAGCGUGCGUAGGCGGCUUUUUAAGUCGGAUGUGAAAUCCCUGAGCUUAACUUAGGAAUUGCAUUCGAUACUGGGAAGCUAGAGUAUGGGAGAGGAUGGUAGAAUUCCAGGUGUAGCGGUGAAAUGCGUAGAGAUCUGGAGGAAUACCGAUGGCGAAGGCAGCCAUCUGGCCUAAUACUGACGCUGAGGUACGAAAGCAUGGGGAGCAAACAGGAUUAGAUACCCCAGUAGUCCCUGUCUCUUAUAA